AAUAAUUUACCAAAAUAUUUGGUAAUCAUAAACAAUCUUUUCUAAAACUCAAAAGCAGACAACUCACAAUACAUAACGACAAGUUGUCAAAUUUUCAAGUGACAUAAUUCUCAAAGCUAUUGAUUUAAAAUCUGUACAACACAUCAAUAAAGUAAAAUAUACUAAGUGUUGCAGCGGAAAUACUUAAGUGGAUUACAUGUAUGAAGACAUGGAAUCCUGAGCCUAAUUUAAUACUUAUACUUCAAAAGCUUUGCUCUGCUCGCCUCCAUCUGCAUCACAGCUUAACCUGCAUAUUUAGAAAACAUAUGCAGGGCUGAGUACUAAAAAGGUACUCAAUGGUCACAUGCCGAAAUAACUUUAAAGCUUGCUCUUAGAGCUAUAUAUUGAACUUGCCAUCUCAAGCAUCACACAAGAGUUUUAUUUAAAUAACCUGUGCACGCCAAAACUGUAAAAUAUCUCUAUAAUAAUCAUAAACUCCAUAUGUGUCUGCAAACAAAUAACAUGUAUGUACCAUAACUACGCAUCAUGUAACCUUGUGUUGAGAAAUAGGCC
rnacentral:lncRNA from 1 species